UUUAUUGCCUUUAAAAUUAAUACAACUUUCAACAACGGAUCUCUUGGCUCUCGCAUCGAUGAAGAACGCAGCGAAAUGCGAUAAGUAAUGUGAAUUGCAGAAUUCAGUGAAUCAUCGAAUCUUUGAACGCACCUUGCGCUCCUUGGUAUUCCGAGGAGCAUGCCUGUUUGAGUGUCAUUAAAUUCUCAACCUUUUCAGCUUUUUUACAAAGUUGAAUAGGCUUGGAUAUGGGGGUUGCGGGCUUCUCAGAAGUCGGCUCCUCUUAAAUGCAUUAGCAAAAUCUUUGUGGACCAGCUCUGGUGUGAUAAUUAUCUACGCCUUUGCCUGUUAACACAUCUUUAUAGGAUUUAGCUUCUAACCGUCCAUUGACUUGGACAAUUUCUGACAUUUUGACCUCAAAUCAGGUAGGACUACCCGCUGAACUUAAG
rnacentral:rRNA from 1 species